rnacentral:rRNA from 1 species
GCAUGCCGCGUGUGUGAAGAAGGCCUUCGGGUUGUAAAGCACUUUUGUUGGGAAAGAAAUCUUGUCGGCCAAUACCCGGCAAGGAUGACGGUACCCAAAGAAUAAGCACCGGCUAACUUCGUGCCAGCAGCCGCGGUAAUACGAAGGGUGCAAGCGUUACUCGGAAUUACUGGGCGUAAAGCGUGCGUAGGCGGUUCGUUAAGUCUGUCGUGAAAGCCCUGGGCUCAACCUGGGAAUUGCGAUGGAUACUGGCGGGCUAGAGUACGGUAGAGGAUGGUGGAAUUCCCGGUGUAGCGGUGAAAUGCGUAGAGAUCGGGAGGAACACCCGUGGCGAAGGCGGCCAUCUGGACCAGUACUGACGCUGAGGCACGAAAGCGUGGGGAGCAAACAGGAUUAGAUACCCUGGUAGUCCACGCCCUAAACUAUGCGAACUGGAUGUUGGGCACACUUAGGAGCUCAGUGUCGAAGCUAACGCGUUAAGUUCGCCGCCUGGGGAGUACGGUCGCAGGACUGAAACUCAAAUGAAUUGACGGA